rnacentral:lncRNA from 1 species
AAAUAGGAGAUGAAAAUCUUAUUAAUAGUAAUAAAUUAAAAAUAUUGAAAGAUAAGAUGGAUGUUAAAAUGUUAGUUGGAUCUAUAUUAGUAAGAAUGUCACAACUAGAAGGUAUGACAAAGCAAUAUUAUAUACAAAAAUGUUUACCAAAAUUACUUAACAAUUUAUUUACUAUUAGUGAUGGAUUAAUACAACAAUAUAUAUUUGAAUCAAUAGUUCAAGUAUUUAGUGACGAAUGUCACAUAUAUAGUUUACCAACUCUAUUAAAUGCUAUAAUGAAAACUGAUAAUUCUAUAGUCGAUUUUAAAAGUAUUCUUAUCACUUUAUUAAAAAGGUUAAGAUGUUUUGUUGAGUCAAAUAAAUUAGACUUACCAAAAGAAAUCAAUAUAUUUAAUUUAUUUUAUGAUCAUUUAGUUAUUUAUGUUAAUAAAACUAUAAAUAUAUAUGGUCAAAAAAAUAGAAACAGUAUAAACGUAAACGGUUACAAGAAUAGCGGUAAUACUUAUAAUAUCCACAAUAAUAACACCGGCAAUAAGAGCGGCAAUAACAGUGACAAUAGAAGUGUUAAAAACAGUGGCAAUAAUAAUGAUAAUGUUGUUAUUGUUCCUAAUGAAGAUAUAGCAACAAAAAACAAACAAAAUGAUUUAAAAAAUAGUAAUAAUAAAAACUUGAGUGAACAUGAACAAACCGGAGUAGGAUUUGCUCCUUUCCACUCAUCCGGUAUAAACAUAAAUGACUACAAUAACAACAGUAACAUAAUUAACAAUAAUUACAAAAAUAAUUUAAGCAACAACAAAAAUAAUGAUGAUGAUAUAAAUUACGAUAAUGGUAGUAACGCACGACAUUCAAACUCUGACUCUCAUAAUACUAAUACAAACAUAAAAAAUAGCGGAGGAAAUAAAAACAGACAUAACAACAUAUUGUCUAGUAAUAAUAAUAAUAACAGUAGUUUAAGAAAUAAUAAAAUGAUAAAUGAGGAAGAAUGUACCGAAAAUAUAGUAAAAAUGCUUCAAGUUAUUUAUGAAUUUAUAUUUUUAUGUAUACAGUUAUAUGAUGAUACUACAAUAAGUAAAUUAUUUAUUUUACCUUAUACAAUAGUUUCUAAUGUAAAUAUGAAUAAUGAUGUCAUUAACGACGAGGUUAUAAAUAUUAUUGUUUUACCUUUUCAAUACUUAGGUUUAAAUACAUUAAAAGGAAGUAAUAUGCAAACACUUUUAAACAGUAUACAUGAAAAACAUAAAAAAAAAUUAGGUUUUUGUAUAAUAGAUGCUAUUAUUGAAUGUAAAAAUAAAACAAUAGAAUAUGAAGAAGUAGAAAAUAUUUUUAAUUUUAUUUAUCACAUGUUUCAUGAACAAAUUAAUAUUUAUGAUGUAUUUAAUUUUGAAAAAAAUACAUUUUAUAGUAACUGUGAAAAACUUUGCAAAUUUUAUCAUAUUAUUACUAAUAUAAAAGAUAUUGAUACUAAA